GGGGUAGGAUGAUCAAUUGUUUUUGGUUCUGUUCUUAACGCGUUAUUAAUUACUAGGGGAGGGUAGAAUAACAAGCCAGUAAUUAGUAAUAGGCUAUUUUCGCCGAGGGAUCGGGUUAAGGGUAACCAAGAAAGUUUGCUUGACAAUUAGAUAACAAAGCAAAUUAAAUAAGAGGAGUAGAUAAGAGAUAGCGGAUAAGAUGAAAUUGUAAACCCCCAACAACUUCAUUCAUCCAUAGUCUUUUUCUCGUCAAUUGAAUGAACCGCAGUUGCAUGUUUAUUUUGUGUUUUUGCAUUCCCACCAAUUAAUUUUCUUUACAAGUCUUACGAUUUCAAUUUGGACGAACGAUAAGGGCUUCGAGUCUCUUGGGAAGAACGAUAUUGGGUUUUACCAAUUAUAUUACUUGAAACGAUCUAGUACACUUGCUAGAGAGUCAACAUAAGACACCAAAGAACAACCGAGAAAAUGACAAGUUCCACUAGUAUUUUUCCUAUCAAUUUUACAACCAGCAUAAUCUGCAUCAGAGAAACCUAUUAAACAAGGUGAAGC
rnacentral:lncRNA from 1 species